GUCCGCCUCUCUUGAGAGAAGCCCAAACCCAAGAGGGCCACUCACGUCACAGAUGGUGGCAGGGGCUGCAGCCCCUCGGGAUGUCCCGAGGCUCUGCACGGCUGCAGCUGCAGGCCAGGCCUGGGCCCUCCACUGAGGAAACCCGAACCUGGGAGAGUGUGAGCCACUACUCAAGGUCACAGGGCUAAUCACAAAGCCAAGAGGACUCACUGCUCCUUAUUCUCAGGCUGCCCCUCGGCCCACGAGAUCAAGAAUGCCAGCGAUCUGAUGUGUGUCCAAACUGGGACGGUGACUCGCACCAUGAGCUGCAGGCUUGUGCCACGGUGAGCGCCUACGUGCCCCACAGUGAGCUCCUACUUGUGCCACGGUGAGCGCCUACUUGUGCCACGGUGAGCGCCUACUUGUGCCACGGUGAGCGCCUACUUGUGCCACGGUGAGCGCCUACUUGUGCCAUGGUGAGCGUCUACAUGCUCCAUGGUGAUCUCCUACAUUGCCAUGCAUGACACAGGGCUUCUCAGGACUGAAAGGAACUUGGAGUGACCCUGGUGCCUUCUGGAUAUCGAGUCCCCUCCCUGCUGGCUGUUCAGUUGUUCCUCUGCAGAUCUCACCAGCAGUACACAGUGCUUUCUUCUGGGACAAUAGGGCCACUCGACAGCUCAUAUGGUGGCUCAUAUGGUUGAGCUGAAACCAGGCCCUGAACCAACCCGCUCCCCUCCUCUGCCCUGAGCCCUUCCCAGCUGACUGCAGGCACCAGGCAGGGUAGCUCAGCCUGCCCACCUCAGCUGCCCCACGGCUGCACACAGCUGCCAUCAGGCUUUCCUCACCUCUUGGUGGCUUCUGGGUCAUCGUCCCCUGUGCUAUGUGCCCUCAGAGCUCCACUCCUCUUCACGCCAGGCUGUUUCGCUGAUGGCGGCUUCCAGGCCACCUGCACCAUGAAAUCACUGAACCRUCUCUUCAGCAGAGGCCAGAAUAGAGGGGCGAGAGCAGAGUGACCAUGGACAUGGCACGUCCAGCCGGUCACGAGAAGUCAGCCCACACAGCAUGGUCUUGUGGCCGAGCACGGGAAGCCCAAUGUCACCGURUCUGUGAGUCAGCAGCAGCCUACCCUACUUUGAUCAAGAAGACUUAGAAGGUUCUUCAGGAUUCUGUUUUCAAAAACAAUCCUCGUUGUUCUUCGAACAUAGUUUCUAGAAUGUCUGGGUACUCAUAUCCAGAAAGCUCUCCAGCCUUGGAUUCCUCUCUUGGGAGCAAAUUGUUGCUGAGUGCUGUGCUAAGUAGGCCACUUCCGUGGAUCGUUUUGUUUGACCUUCAAAAUGGCGCUGAUCCUCUCUGAGUYGUUGGAACUCGAGACCCAGGAAGCUGGGGGUCCCCGGUGCACAGCCGUGGUGCAGGCCCCAUCCUCCCGGGCAGGGCCUCAUUAUCACUCAAAGCUUCAAAGGUAUGGCACCUGGAGGUGGUGCUUGCUACCUAGUACUUCCACAACACUCACUGUGAAGUAAAAACAGAGUUACACCCAAGAAUUGGGGGAAAUCAAGGGUGAAGACCAGCUGCAGGCUGCUCCUUGCAGGAAGCUGAUGGGAACUCGGUCUCUGGUCCUCCACAGUGGCUUCUGUUGGUAAUGACAUGAGACCCAGGUUUCUGGAACACUGCAGGGGGACAGAAGCCAUCCACAGAUCCUCCCAGGGGGACUGGCCUUCUUUCAGGCACCAGUUUCUUGGCUCUGGGCUACGGGUCCCCAUUCCCUCUCUCUUGUACCCUACCAUGUCCCCAGCACUCAAGAGUGUGAAGCUAACACCUCGGUGAGCACCUGCUACCUUCCUGUUUGUGUGAGAAGCUGGGACAGGAGAGGGAAGGGCAGGGGUGGCCCUGCCAGGGAGCCCAGGGCCCAGGGGAGAGAGUACCCACAAGGCCAGCACAYCCCCAGAGCUUAGGUGGACACACCAUAGGAGAGAUCCAGUUGCAGAGGUCGUCCAAGGCCCCUCACCCUCAGCUGGGCACCCCAGUGCUGCCUGCUCAGCACAGCCCCACACAUGCACCUCUGGAACCCAGCCACGUGGACUGCCCUAGACACCAGUCAGGUCCACAGCCCAAGAUAUACUUCUGCUGGUGUGAGCCUCCUGGGAAGUGCAGAGGUGGGUGGUGAGUGCAUGCCAAGGGGUGAGCAGGAGGGAGAGAGUGAGGGGCAGGGGGACUGAGAGCCCCUUUCCUUUUUAGAUGUCUGAGACAGGAGUGGAGGUCAGAUUCCUGUGUGCACUUCCUCCUGGGACCCUCUGGGGUCCUGCUGGCUGAAGAGACUGACACGAGAAGGCCCCGGGCUCCUGACCUGUCUGCUGGGGAGAGGUCAGGGGGAAGAGAUGAGGCUGGGCCGACAGGGAGAUGGCCCCGGGUCACUUCCUGGGCAGACAGCACCAGCUGCACCAGCAGAUACUUGCUAAGAAACUUACAGAAAGCCUGCAUUUAAAUCAGGGCCCACAUGACUGGGUCCAUGCUGCUCCGAGAAGGAAAAAUGCCCGAUGGAUAUUUUGAUGGGUGCAUGAACACCUCGUGGACACUGAGUGCCUCACCCAGGGUUGAUGGGUCUACAUCAACCCCUGGCCAGUAGCCACUCUGGGGCAUCCCUCUCUUGGGACCCUCCCCUCUUUGGGAGC